UAGCAACUCACCCGCCGCAGCACCCGUACUGUUCGCGAAGAAACCAGGAGGAGGCUUACGAUUCUGCGUUGACUACCGAGGACUCAACAAGAUUACGCGGAAGGACCGAUACCCUCUCCCACUCAUCAACGAAACACUCGAACGAGUAGGAAAAGCAAAAUGGUUUACGAAGCUUGACAUCUCUGCGGCCUUCUAUAAGAUAAGGAUUAAUGAAGGUGACGAAUGGCUAACCGCUUUUCGUACGCGUUACGGAUUAUACGAAUGGACAGUGACCCCCUUUGGAUUAGCGAACGCCCCGAGCACGUUCCAGAAAUACAUUAACUGGGCCCUACGAGACCUGCUCGACGAGAUCGCCUCAGCGUACAUGGACGAUAUCCUGAUCUUCACCGAUGGACCGCUCACUGAGCACCGCAAGCACGUACGACAAGUGCUUGACCGCCUACGUAAAGCCGGACUGCAAGUGGACAUUGACAAAUGCGACUUCGAGACCAAGUCUACGACCUACCUAGGAUUCAUCAUCGAAGCUGAAAAAGGCGUACGCAUGGAUCCUAAGAAGGUGGAAGCAAUCCUCAACUGGGAGGCACCAGUCUCGGUAAAAGGGACUAGAAGCUUCCUAGGAUUCGCCAACUUCUACCGAAGGUUCAUCAAAGACUUCUCCGAUAUCGUACGACCACUGACGGACCUGACC
rnacentral:sRNA from 1 species